rnacentral:rRNA from 1 species
ACUCCUACGGGAGGCAGCAGUGAGGAAUAUUGGACAAUGGAGGCAACUCUGAUCCAGCCAUGCCGCGUGUAGGAAGACUGCCCUAUGGGUUGUAAACUACUUUUAUAGAGGAAGAAAUCGCAAUACGUGUAUUGCUCUGACGGUACUCUACGAAUAAGGAUCGGCUAACUCCGUGCCAGCAGCCGCGGUAAUACGGAGGAUCCAAGCGUUAUCCGGAAUCAUUGGGUUUAAAGGGUCCGUAGGCGGGCGUAUAAGUCAGUGGUGAAAGUUUGCGGCUCAACCGUAAAAUUGCCAUUGAUACUGUAUGUCUUGAAUAAUUGUGAAAGUGGUUUAGAAUAUGUAAGUGUAGCGGUGAAAUGCAUAGAUAUUACAUAGAAUACCGAUUGCGAAGGCAGAUCACUAACAUUUAUUGACGCUAAGGGCAAAGGCUGGGUAGCGAACAGGAUUACGAUACCCCGUGGUAGACUGU